ACAGGAAGUGGGGCUGUUGUUAGGGACGCGCCCUUAGAUGGAACAGGAAGUGGGCCUGUUGUUAGGGACGCGCCCUUAGAUGGAACAGGAAGUGGGGCUGUUGUUAGGGACGCGCCCUUAGAUGGAACAGGAAGGGGGCCCUGUUGUUAGGGACGCGCCCUUAGCUACGCCCAGGAACAGGAAGGGGGCGCGGCAGGGAGCGGCAGGGAGCGGGAAGGGAUCAUCAAGUGUCUCAAAGGGCCAGGACUGCCGACCCCAGAUACAGCAAUCGGCUCCCAGCCCACCAUUGCCAGGUUUCGUUUUUAUCCAGCAAGUCUCCUAUUUCCAUCCACUAGUCCUCCUGUGUUUGGGGCAUGCGGGGAAUUUUGCAUUGUCUCCAAGCCGUGCACGAUCCAUGAUGAUUUCACGUGUGGGGGAUACCAUCUUAGCCCCACCUAACUAGACUCAUUUUCAUCCAUCUUUCACCUUCAUAAGGAACCAUAUUGUUUCUGAACAAAGCUGAGUGUGGUGCUGACCUGAAGAUUUUAUAGUUUUUUUAUUUUUUUGGCUAUGUCUUGGAGGUUAAAAGGAAACCCUGCUUCUCUAUGAAUUAAAUGAUUUUAUCUAAAUGUUUUUA